UACGUAGGGGGGCAAGCGUUGUCCGGAUUCAUUGGGCGUAAAGAGCGUGUAGGCGGCCAGGUAGGUCGGUUGUGAAAACUGGGAGGCUCAACCUUCAGAGGUCGACCGAAACCAUCUGGCUAGAGUCCGGGAGAGGAGAGUGGAAUUCCUGGGUGUAGCGGUGAAAUGCGCGAGAUAUCGUGGAGGAACACCGGUGGCGAAGGCGACAUCCUGGACCGGCAUUGACGCUGAGGCGCGAAAGCCAGGGGAGCAAACGGG
rnacentral:rRNA from 1 species